rnacentral:lncRNA from 1 species
AAAGAGAUAGAAUAUUUUUAAAAUUCCCGUUGUACCCCUGGUAAAAUUCCAACCGUCAGAUUGAAAUUGGCAAAAAAUAAUUUUGUACCGUUGGAUUGGCUGUGGGAUUGAUCUGAGAGAAGCUCUCGGAUCAAUAGAAUUUUUGCAUAAAACUAGUACCUACAAACUAUAUAUGGUACAAGCACAACAAAAUCAGUACCACUAACCUCCCGAUGGUACAGGAACCCAAAAAAGUUCACAAAAAUUAUAUAUUCUACCCAUGUUGAUAUUGGUGGUAUUUCUCCUCCAUCAGACUUCGAUUCACCAACAGAGUGUUUUGCCCUUCCUUCAACCUCAUUUUCUGUUUGAUUAAAGCAACAUCAUCAACGCAUAGAUCGAUAGUCUUGUAGUACCAAUCUAUGAUCUUUUUCAAUUGUCAGCAUGCAUAUUUGAAGUAAAAUCAACAAAAUCUUGAGGAGACCUACACCAACCAUGACCAAACAUAUCAAGGGUUGAAAUUCCAAUUAAAAUCAUGAACAUGUAAAUGCUUCAGGUUCAUAUUUCAAAAGCAACCCAAACUUCUGAAAUCAAACAUAUCGAAACUUCUGUGACAACCAUUAGACCGACCAAAACAACCAGUUACCAAAAUGAUAUGAUAUAAUCAACAAAGAUACAAAAUUAGAAGUAACAAAACAGUCGCCAAAAAGAAAUCAGAAGAUUGAUUGAAGAAACGAGUUUUGGGAGAGUAGAUCUGAGAAAUCUGAGUGACUUUAUUUCAUUAGAUCAGGGAGAGUAAAUCUCAAAGAGAAAAGACCUUACUAUGACAAAAGGAGCUUAUAAAUUGAUCCUAUCCGGCUAUCCUUAUUGCCACCGUCUUCUUCGCAUGAUCUCUCUUUUGCUGUCAAUAUACUUUUCCUUCUUCUCUUGUCUUCUUCUUUCGCCGUAAAUCAUUUCUUGUUGCUCUUGUCCUCUUCUGUUGUUAUUCAGCUUCUUCUUCAUCUCAGAACUAUCAACAAUUUCUCCAACGUGUAAGGGGAUGGGAAGGAUUUCCCCAAAAAAACAAAGAGAUGGGAGUAUUUUUUGGAGUUUCAGAUUUCUUAUUGGUUGGAAAUUGAAAAAAAUCUUAAA